ensembl:lncRNA
AGCGGCUGCAGCUCAAGGGCGCUGCCCCGGCGGCGCCGGAGGAAUGGCCGCUGCUCCCGCCCCGACCCCGCCGAGUGCCUGUCCCGGGGCACAGCCGGGGUUUUGUUUUUGCACUGAAUGUAGCCAGGACGGAUCCUUGUGGGCUUUGGCAGCCCUUGGAAACUGUCAAAGGCAGUAUUUUUCAUUUCUGCAGAGCUUUGCACAGAUCCCGUUCCCAUGCAAACUGAUGAGGGAGAAAUACUGGAGGAAGGCAGUCCCAAGAUGGAACAUGAGGAUUUUGUAAUGGAGGGGCAUGGCAAGACUCCACCUCCUGGUGAAGAAAACAAACAUGGGGAUUAGGUGGACAUCAACAUACUGGACUAGGUUUUUGAAAGAGCACAGAGAGGAACUCUGGAGCAUCUGACAGAGAAGCAGAGGAAGCUGUGACUGUUUAGCCCUGAGAUAAGACAACUUGGGAGCGGAUAUUAUUAUCCAUGUGUAUAGAUAUCUGAUGAGGAGACUAAAGAGGACUGAGCCAAAUUCUUCACAGUGGUGCCUGGUGGAGAGGCAAGAAGUCACUGGCAUAAACUAAAAUACAGGAAACUCCACUCAAACACAAGGGAAAAAAAAUUCUUUUUUUUACUGUUAAACGUGGUCAGGCCUUUGGAAGAGCUUACCCAGAAAAGUUGUGCAUUCAUAGCCCUUUAAGUGACUCAAAACUCAGCUGGGCACAACCCCAACCCUGCUCUAGUUAACCAUUCUUGCAAAGAAUGGGAUUGAUGAUCUUAGAGAUCCCAUCCUUCUGCAGUGAUUCUGUGAUUUGGUGUACCCAUGUCCACUGUUGUCCUCCUGUUGGUUUGAAAUAAAAUUGGAGCUUGUUAAUGAAAGGUAGAAUCUAAGUUUGAAUGUUGAGUCAGAUGUUCUCUACAGAAAUAGCUGCACCACUGAAGGUGUUUCCUCCCCUUUCCAGCUGUCAUUGGACUUAAUAGAAUUUACUGCCUCUACAGCUAUGAAGAUGGAAUAUUUUUUCUUUGUCUGCUUCUAAUUCACUUUUCCAGAAAGUUGGCCAUUGUAAUUUAAUUGCCUUUUGUUAGGCAGCCUGAUCUGGGUAGCUCUGCACUGAGAUCUCUGAGGAAAUGUUCAGUGUAUAUGGUUUCAGCAAGGGGAUGAACUUGCACCAGAGUUCCAGAGCAGUCUGCCAGUGUUAACCUCCUACAAGAGCCCUGCAAAUUCCUUGGUAUUUAUCUGCAUGUCAGUGGGCUCAAAGCUUUACUGGACAAUGAAGGAACAGAAAUAAAAAGAUGAUUCUGAGAGACUUUCAAUGGAUGCAAUAGUUCUUACCUAACACUGUUUUCAUAUGAAACUUCCUUUGCUAAGGUAUAGCUUCAAAACUGAAUACGAGGAGCCAGCAUCAUUGGGUGAUUUCUGGCACUUUAUGAAACAGAUUAUUUCCCCAGCUUGACUGGGAGAUAAAAACUUGGCAUUUUUACCUUCUAGUAUUAAACAAACACACACAUCAAAAAUGCAAACAAACCCAGCAACAACAAAUAACCCUGUUGCAAUGUUGUGAACCUUUUUCCUGCUGUACUGAACAGUCUUUUGGACAGACUUAGCAUACUAAAGUUACAGCAUUUUAAGAUUUUUAAUUGAACUGUAGAUGAUACCUGAGAAGUGCUGUCUUCUGAUACCAAUCACCUUUAUGGGAAGGAAUUACCUGGUUAAACUGUAUACAAGGUCUUUAGAAAUUGUCAACUUAGCAUUUACAACAUGGAUAUAAUUUAUUUCAAUUUAAGCUAAUUAUGAGAAAGUUACCCAUUCAAAAUCCUUAGUACAAGUGAGAAAUGGAAUGGGCACAGUCAUCUCAGUUC